rnacentral:rRNA from 1 species
UGGGGAAUAUUGGACAAUGGGCGAAAGCCUGAUCCAGCCAUGCCGCGUGUGUGAAGAAGGUCUUCGGAUUGUAAAGCACUUUAAGUUGGGAGGAAGGGCAUUAACCUAAUACGUUAGUGUUUUGACGUUACCGACAGAAUAAGCACCGGCUAACUCUGUGCCAGCAGCCGCGGUAAUACAAAGGGCGCAAGCGUUAAUCGGAAUUACUGGGCGUAAAGCGCGCGUAGGUGGUUUGUUAAGUUGGAUGUGAAAUCCCCGGGCUCAACCUGGGAACUGCAUUCAAAACUGACUGACUAGAGUAUGGUAGAGGGUGGUGGAAUUUCCUGUGUAGCGGUGAAAUGCGUAGAUAUAGGAAGGAACACCAGUGGCGAAGGCGACCACCUGGACGAAUACUGACACUGAGGUGCGAAAGCGUGGGGAGCAAACA